AUCCGCUCCCUUUAACUAGAAGCUGCGUCAUACACACGGAGCAUUUGGGAGACCACGAUGUCGUCUUCCUUCUGUCAGGAGGAUCCAAGUGAAGCUACAGGAGUAUGAUGAAGAGCAAGAAGGGCAGCCUGGAGAGAAAGAGGAGCCGGGUUGAGCCCACUACUCUCAUCCACGUACCACGAGGAAGAUGAGGGAGAGAAAUUAUCCUACCAUUAAAGAGACUGUGCAAAGAAUGUUGAGAACAUCACCACUCUACAGGAAUACACAGUCCAGUAAUGUGUGUCAGAAGUUCAGUAGUGAACGACAGGUAGUACUGACGCAUUUACGGAGAUGGGACAUGAGGGCCUUGUCUGCGUGCCCAAGAGAAGAUUCCACAGAGUUCAAGCUGAGCAGGCUGCAGCAGGUUUGGAGGAAUCCUCCUCUGAAGAGGAAACAUGGCGAGGUUCUUCUCC